UUUGAAACUGUGUUUGGAGAUGCUUAAAUCUAACAAUGAUUGGGCUUCUCUUCUGAGUUCUAGAGUCGAUCGACAGGAACAAAAAUAGCAUCUAUUAUCAUGUUUAUUCUUCUAUAUGGAGCAACAUCAAAGGAGAGUUUAUGGUUGUAUCCGACAACGUUGGCUGGUUGAUUGGUGAUGGCAGUUCGUUAUUAAUAUCUGGAGGUGGCUGGAAAUAAUUUUCAACAUGCAUAUAAACAUAAUCAACUCAAUUCUCUUCCUUGGAUGAUAUUUGGAAGCUUUGUGACAAGUAAUCGUCACCUCGAUGUAAAAUAGCUAUUCAAUCGAUGCUUAUAAACAUAAUCAACACUAUUUGGUUUGUGAGGAAGAAUAUGGCAACCUCCCAUAACAAGAUGGAUUAAGUGUAAUAUCGAUGGUGGAACAACUGGUACCCCUCAGCUGCUGCAUG
rnacentral:lncRNA from 1 species